AUUUUAAUAUGAUGAUGUGGCUGAGGGGCCUGACCUAGUCAGUUUUCCUGGAUCUAGAGGCUUUGAGAGAAUUGUGAGAUGUCUCCUGAAACUCAUUGGCUCUUUGAUGCUGUUUUCAGAGAGAGAAGGAGCAGGAGAGAGAGAGUAAUGCUGAUGUGAGAGAAAAACAUUGAUCAGCUGCCUCCAGUACAUGCCCAACCAGAGAUUGAACA